rnacentral:sRNA from 1 species
CUCCACCAGCCACAGCCCUCAAAAUAUCUCCAUGCCAGUUGGCAGAAUUUCAAUGGGAGCCCCGGCCAGAUCGAUGCUCCAAACCAGAACCCCUGAUCCUUAUGUAAUUCAGAGCCACGGGAUUUAUUUUGGCGGCUACUCUGAUUCCACCUCUUCCCUCCCAUCGGAGACCUGUUCGGGCUAUCAGGGACUACAACGCCAAACUCCUCCUAACCCGCCAUCCUAUCAAGCGUCUCAAUAUUGCCGUCCUCCCGCUUGGGAAGAUCCUAGCCAAUUUAUGCAUCCUCCAGGAGUAAAAUUUGAGAGCGGUGAUAGAAUGUACCAGCCGUACAUGCACUGUUUUUCGAUCCCCAACGAUGCACAUAACCCACCAACCGUACCGCAACAUAGACCAACAGUAGGGUGCCCUCGAUAUGCACCGGUCAGUCGUUUCAAUAAGGAAAAUAACCCUC